UACGUAGGGGGCAAGCGUUGUCCGGAUUUAUUGGGCGUAAAGAGCGUGUAGGCGGUCAGGUAGGUCCGUUGUGAAAACUCGAGGCUCAACCUCGAGACGCCGAUGGAAACCAUCUGACUAGAGUCCGGAAGAGGAGAGUGGAAUUCCUGGUGUAGCGGUGGAAAUGCGCAGAUAUCAGGAAGAACACCCGUGGCUAAGGCGGCUCUCUAGUACGGUACUGACGCUGAGACGCGAAGCGUGGGGAGCGAACAGG
rnacentral:rRNA from 1 species